AGAUGAGGGGUGGGGCCAGUUCUCCCUAGUGUUGCACCUUGUGAGGGGCAGGGCCAACUCUAUCCAGCCUAUCCUCUAAGCCUUUCAAUAGUAACAGCAGCCAUGAGCAUCAACACAGACUAUGGCUUCAGCAGGGCCAUGAACUCCAGCUCCAGGGAUUCCAGUGCCCUCUUCUGGCCUCUGCAUGCCCCAGGCAUGGAUGACAUCCCCAGAGAUGAAAUGCAGACAACUGUACCACGCAGACGCGGCCUCCCACCCCUGUCUGAGAGUCAGCUGUCUCAGCUUGCACUUUGCUGGAAAGGUGGAUAGGAGAAGAUCAGAGAGGCGACGAGCACUCCAGACUGGCCUUAUUCUCAAAGACAAGCCCAAAGUGAUGAGUCCAUCCUCCAGUCCAUAAGGUGAAGAAGAACUGAUGGCUCCAACUGGGAAGGACCCAUGCCCUGCAAACAGCCUACAAGUGGAUUUUUAACUUCGAGAUAAACUUUCAGUGAAGACUGAAUACUUGGAAGGGACUUGGAAUUAAACAACAGAUUUGAAUCACUCUAAUUAUUGACUCACUGAAAAUGUGAGUUCAAUGUUUGCUGCUUUAAGCCAUUACUUUGAGCUUUUUUAUCCCAGAAGAAUAGACAAUCAGUACAGUGAUAUUUACAUAUUACUGUCUUUGCCAGACCCUUGCAUAAAAAAGGAGAAAUUAAAAGGAAUGAAACAUAGUACCUGCCCCCAGAAGUGCAAGACCUAGUAAAAACAGGAGGAUAGUCAGUUAAGCAAAGCUAUGAGUAUGUGCAAAGUACAGAGAUGGGCAAAGGGAUUCGUAAAUAAUGAGGACCAAGGCUUUGAGGGAUAGGCAAGAGUUAACUAUGAAACUGCUGAAAACAAUAUAGUUUUGCACUGGUAAACAGCCUGGUAAGAGUGGUAACCGACGGGAAACAGGAGUUGGGUUAUCACUAAGAAUUAACCUGCAGGAGGAAGGAGUGAAGGGCAGCCUGAAUUUGUUUGUUUUCAUUUGGUUGAUUGAGCAGAUGAUUAUUUGAUAAACUAAGCUGGACACAAGAGGAGGGUUGAUAAGGGCAGGGGGUGUCGGGAUUGAUAGUGUAUGGGUCACACCACUGGAGACACUAUUAGAUUACAUAAUCAUUAGCAUACACAUAUAAGCAUGGUCAGUACUAGGUCUUGCUAUGUAAUGAAUCACCCUAAAAAUCUGGUGAUUUCAAACAAACAAAAGCUUAAAGAUCUCACAGAUUCUCAUUUUAUUGUUAAACUACAACAUGCCUGGCUUAAUACAACAAAAUGCUUUCAAUAAUCAGUGAAAAUAAACUGAAUAAUGAAAAUGUAAAACAUAAUUGCCUGAAGACUCUCAGAUUCUCAGAGUGGCUCAGCUGCUCAGGAAAUCUGCAGUCAAGAAGGUGGCUGAGAUUUCGAUCAUCUGUGAGCUUGAGAGGAGCCGAAGUCUCCAUUGUCAAGAUGACCACCUACACUGUGGUGCUUUCCAGAUCCUUCCUACAGAGGAUUCUUACAACAGCUGCUCGCAUAGUACCCAACCCCUUCCCAAGCAAAGCAGUCUGAGAACGAGAGUGGCUGUGAGCUACUAGAGCUUUAGCUAGACUCCCAAAUUCUAAGCUGCCACUUCUUGUUAGAAGUGAAGGGCAUCAAUGAACGCACCAAGCAUCUUAGGAUUAAUGUACACACAGGGAUAGCUGCCUACGUACACGCGGAAGUCGAUAGCACUGGUGCCAGUGUAGCAGUUUCUGGGUGUUUAUGAAUGAAAUAGUGACACCGUAUGCACAAGUUUUAUCAUUUAAUAUAUUGUAAAUAGGUCUGUGGUAUUAAGUCAUGAAUGGAGACUGACGGCAGGCCAGCUUGGGUUCGAGUCUCAGACGCAUCCGUGCAAACUCAAAGUGAUCAUUUAUCAACUCCAAGUGCCUGCUUCACCGUCUCUUUCAUGAGAAUCACAGCAGACUCCAGAACUUGAAGAGGAUCGCACACCUUGAUGCAGAACGAACCACUGUUGGACUUUGGGAACCAUUCCUUUCUGAAUGAAGAGGAGACACUCAGUUCCGAAUGUGUUUCCUCCGUAUUUUCUGCUACUGUCUUUCCGAAUCUCGGGGAUGAGCUACGAUGGGCCCUCAUCAUCUGUAAGGGGUGCACUUUCCAUUGUUGGGAAAGCAGUCUGCUCAUGUUUUCUGUACAGAAAUCCAGAAGCACAGAGGCUGCCUCUCACCCUCAAGACGACAAGAAGUCGUGAUUAAUUGCCUGUCUAUUGUAACAAUUAACACUUAUCCCUGCAGACACCUGAUUACAAUGACUAAUUAGACAAAAUUUCUUCUCAAAGCCUUUGGAAUCACAGUUCUUAUGCAAUAAAGCUCUAAGCCUUUAUU